GUCAGGGUUCUGGCCAGAAAUUCUGUCUUCACUGCUUAUGCUUUAGGGAGAGUACCAGUAACCCCUUGACUGCCUGGCUCCAAGAGCUGACCUCCAGCUGACCCCAGCCCAGUUCCCUCCCUGCCACCUCUCUGGAACAGCCCCCCCUCCCUGGGUUCGGGAGGAGGGGCUGGUCUCCCAGGCUUGGGUGGAUCCAGAUUCUCACCUCUGUACUCCUGGGGUUUGCCCCCAAGGCUGCUGCUUAAUGACCCUCCUCCCCAGCCCUGGAGACUGGACCUGGCCUCUGUGGGUCUCUUGCAUACUGGCACUGUGUCUCUGGAGACCUUUCCAACUUUGGUGUGCAAGUCUGUGUUGGCUUUCUUUUUAAAGGAGUCUUGGUUUCCUGACCUAGGGAAAUGGUAGUGGAAAUGCCCCCCAUAAGGAAUAGUUGGAGGAGACCCUGGUCUUACCCUCAGUCCUUCAGAAAGAGCCUGGCCUCCAACCCCAGGUAGCUUUGACCUGGGCAGAGAGGAGGGCAAAUGGGUGCAGUCUUUGCCACAAGGGAGACUGUACUUACCCACUGCAGGCUAGUGUUAGAGUAAGGAACCCAUGUAAGCUUGCCUGUGCAGCUGAAAAAAUCCUAGCCUGGGGUGACAUUCUGGCCCUUGGGAGGCCCCUUGGGAACAGAAGGAGCUGAGAUCACUCCCUUCCCUGAGAUUCCAAGGCAGCAAGUUCCAGGAGCAAAGGAAGGCCUGAAGGGAAAGUCCAGGAGGGCAUUCCUGGAUUGUACCAGCUUCCACCUUGGGCCAGGGAAACUGUGUGCCCUAGUCUUAGGGUGUCCUAGGAGACAAAGCUUAGUGCCUUCUAUUAACCAGCAGUGAAAGAAUCCAAAGAGGCCUCCACAAUGAGGCAUCUGGCUGUCCAGACCACUUAGAAAAUGUCUCCCAGGAAGAGGAUGUUUGGGUAGGAUGGAAAGAGCCUCCUGGCAUAUACAAACCCCAUCUCUUGCUCAGAACUCCACCCAGUGCAACUGUGCUGACUCCAUCUUUCCACUUGCCUCUUUCUUCUGAAUCAGGGUCCCUGGCCAACAUGACUCAAAGACUUCUAGAAAUCUCCAGGUAGUAGAAUCCCUAAAGAACUCUUGGAGAAAAUUUUUAGGGAUCCUAAAGAAAGGGCCAUGCAACUCGGUUGUUUAAUGCUGCUUUUGCCAGGUUACCUGGAAAAUUGAUCCCCACUCAGGUCAAAUCCCGUAACUAAUAGCUGGUAUGGAGCAAGAUGGGGCUGCAAGGCUAGAGCUGUCUCUCUUAGCUGAGCAUCUCAGGCUUUGCCUCUCAAGCUGCCACCUCCAGAGCUGAUCUGCAAGGUCUUGGACUGUGAACAGCCCCAGAAAGCUAGAAUAACGAAAUUCAAGAUUUGAUAGUUGCUGGAGAGUCCCCCAUCUCAAUCCAAGCUCCCAUGGGGAUGACCCCCGCAAACCCUGGCUUCAGUACUCAGUGGAGACCAACCAGAUUCUAGUUCUCUCUGGAUGGAAGGAAGAAACCCUGGACGUUAAGAACCCCUCACCUCUCUGUGCCAUGGGAACAAAGGGGGUUCCCCUCCCCCGCCGAUUAAGAGAAAUUGAUCAGACUAAGCUGAGUCUAGGUACCCUCGCCGUGUCUGGACUGCAGUGUGGUAGAUUGAGAACAGGGCUACCAGGUAGCUUGGUUUUCAACUAAGAUUCGUUUAAAACUCGCAAGGACAUCAUGGUUCCAGUGUGGUCAACGUCCUCGGUAUUCGGACGGGACCCCACCACUCUAUGGCUCCCCGAGCCCAGUGAAGGUGAAGAAACUCAUCUCUAGACGCCCAAGCCAUUCCGGGGCGUCCCGCGCAGGGUUCCCCUCGGUGGCUGCAGCCUCUACACGCUUAGAGCCCGCGGGCUCCAGCCAGGGAGCAGACCAGGUUCAAAUUCCGCCGCCACUGCUUGUUUCUGGUUCGCCUACCCACCGCCAGCCCCCCUCGCAACCGCGGGCGCCCGAGUCUGGGACUCAGCAAGCAAGCCUUGGGGAAAUGGCCCCACAGUAACAACCGGGCCUCCAGCUCAGCUCCGGAAUUCUCUCUGCCAAUGCCGAUGGGGUCCAGCAGAGAGCGAUACCCAAGCCGGCACGUGGCACCGGGUCGUGGACCUCCCUGCGCCGCGUUCCGAAGUGAGCCCUCGCCGCGCCAAUCCUAGGCGUAAAGGGGGUGGCGACAGC
ensembl:lncRNA